rnacentral:miRNA from 4 species
AUUGGGAACAUUUUGCAUUCAU